rnacentral:misc_RNA from 1 species
AACUGAUACUACCUGCGGGAACCUGCGGAAGGAUCAUUAUUGAAUAAACUUGAUGUAGUUGAGCUGACUCUCUCGGGAGUAUGUGCUCGCUCGUCAUCUUUAUCUUUCCACCUGUGCACUUUUUGUAGAUUUGGAUAUAACUGUCCGAGGCAACUCGGUUGGGAGGAAUGCUGUCUCUGAUGGCUUUCCUUGUAUGUCCAAGUCUAUGUUUUCAUAUACUCCAAGUAUGUAACAGAAUGU